rnacentral:rRNA from 1 species
UACGUAGGGUGCAAGCGUUGUCCGGAAUUAUUGGGCGUAAAGAGCUCGUAGGCGGUCUGUUGCGUCGGCUGUGAAAACCCGGGGCUCAACCCCGGGCCUGCAGCCGAUACGGGCAGACUAGAGUUCGGCAGGGGAGACUGGAAUUCCUGGUGUAGCGGUGAAAUGCGCAGAUAUCAGGAGGAACACCGGUGGCGAAGGCGGGUCUCUGGGCCGAUACUGACGCUGAGGGGCGAAAGCGUGGGGAGCGAACAGG